UUCUCUUCAUUUACGUAUCGAUCCUCUCACUCUCCAUUUCUCCGAUUCUUCUUCGUCUCCUUCCUCUGCUCCCCCCUUCUUUUGCCUGCGCCCUGCACGGCUGCCCCCACUUCUAUCUCUGUCUCUCUCUCUCUCACAUCAUGAGCAGCAGCUCAGAGGGUUCACUUGAGAAGCCUUAGUGGAGCAGCUUUAGCGGAGAGGGACUUCCUGGUUGCGAUGUGAAGGUGUUGCUAUAAGUUCAGGUCGCAGGAUAAGAUACAGUUAUUGCGUAACUUUAUCUUCGUCUGCCGUUGCAGUUGACCGGAUAUUUGCAAAGGCGUUAUUAGCUUGCCGACUCGUCGCUUUUGGUCUGCUCCGUGGCUGAUACCGUCUUUGUGCGAUGCCUUACUAUAUACAGAGGUUGUAUAACACCUGCAGAGCGUCGUUUUCGACGAAUGGACCUGUCUCGGAUGAAGCUCUUGAGAAAGUCCGCACCAUGCUAGACAGAAUCAAGCCCUCUGAUGUAGGCCUUGAGCAGGAGGCGCAAUUGGUACGUGCAUGGUCUGGACCUAUACAUGAACGAAAUGGAAGCCGUCAGUCACUUCCACUUAUCAAGUACUUGCAUCUACAUGAGUGCGACAGCUUCUCUAUUGGAAUAUUCUGCAUGCCACCUUCAUCUAUCAUACCUCUUCACAAUCAUCCUGGAAUGACCGUGCUGAGCAAGCUUGUUUAUGGGUCCAUGCAUGUAAAAUCAUACGAUUGGGUUGACGGAUUUGCACCCAAUGAUCAAUUGCAAGCUAGACCAGCAAAGCUUGUUAAAGAUACUGACAUGGUAGCACCCUGUCCCACAACAACUCUUUAUCCCACAACUGGAGGCAACAUUCAUUGUUUUAGAGCAAUAACUCCUUGUGCUAUCUUCGAUAUCCUCUCCCCACCAUAUUCAUCAGAGCAUGGGAGACACUGCACUUACUUCCGGAGGUCACCCCGAAGGGAUCUACCCGGUGAACUAGAAUUGGAUGGGGAGACAGUUUCAAACAUUACUUGGUUAGAAGAGUUCCAACCCCCCGAUAACUUUGUGAUUCGGAGAGGGAAGACCGAAAUUCAAGGUGACAUGUUUCCAUGGGGCUGCUAAUGUUGAUGGCCUGGCAAUAAUCAUGUCUCGGCUAUAUAUCGAGGUUUUAGGCAUUUGGGUUUGUACAUAAUAAGUUACACAGAUUUGGUUCCGAUAUUACUGACACCAACCACUCUUUUUUAAGUAGCAAGAUGAGAUUAGGCAAAUUGAAAGUUGGAGACAGUGUAAACACCAACGCCUCUUGGAUGACGAUGUAAACAGAAUCGAGAAGAUGGUGAUGCAGGCCACACUAUUCAGUUCGAGAGGCUCUUCCUGUUUGGAGACUCUGAAAUACCAGGAAAAUUGAUUUCAUACUCAUUGCUGUUCAGUAAUGCGAAACUGCAAACAUGGAAGUUACCGGAUGUUAACUUCAAUCGAUUCAGAAUUCCUGUUGUUUA